GGUCACAGUAAUGGUCCCUGUGGGUCUCUAUUGGUAAAUUGCUUUCUUCUAUUGGUGGUAUGUAGUGUCUUGGAUUGCCACCAUACGUCAUUUGGAAAGGUUAUUUUUAAUUCAUUUAAUGUUUUUUUUUUUUUUUUUUUAAAUCACCUCGACUCGUCAUGGCCUUCAAAAUUGACUUGAAAAGUUGGACUUUGUUUUGUCUGUCGGAUUUGGUCCAAAUUUAGCCCAAAAAUAGAUGUGAAAUAACAGUGAAAUUCUGCGUGACUUCCACGUGCUGUAAUGUGCGCGCGCGCAGAACUGGAGCGGAGGACGUCACCAUGGAAACGAGGCGGCAGCCCAACCGUCAAGCAGCUGAUCGCUGACACUCAAUGUGGUUUCACUUUUUUUUAGGUAAGUUUAGUCUAUUAAAUUACACAAAUAGUACAUUAAAGUGUUCCUGACACUUUAUUUCAUGUAAAUUAUACGCUUUCGUUUAAUACUUACUUUAUAUAAAUGGUUUAGCGUCGUCAGAAAAAGUCCGUUAGCAUCUCAAAGAAGUGCCAGAAAAAAACCUCUAUGACGCAGGAGAAGUUCCUGAUUUUAACAUUUCUGAAGGGGGCUGCUGACAGAGAGGAUGAAAACAUACACAUUUUGAUGUCCACGCUGUAGGAGCAUUACUAAAUAAUGCUUAUGUUCCUAGGUUCUUCCAUGCUGAUGGCUGUGCUCUAGAGUCAUAUCUCCUGUCGAAGAACAUUUUUAGACAUUAUGAACCAUGAAUAAGUUUAGCUCCAACCCCAGUUAAGCAGACCUGAGCAGCUGAUCAAGGAUCAGCAGAAACUCUGCAGAACGGUGGUCCUCCAGCCUAGGACUGGACACCAGUGUUAGUGUCUGUCUCAGAAGCUGAAGAAAAAAGGCCACACCUUAUAGGAAAUAAACGCCUCCUAAGUGUAUGGAAAUACCUGGCUGAGGAGAUCAGUGACAUAAACCAGAUAAAACUGUCAGUGGUCUGAGACAGCUACAAGCCACAAAAAUAGUUCAUAGUUCCUGCAUUUCUAUAAUGCAUUAAUGAAUAACAAUAAUUAAAAUAAAAUGUAAUGUCAAGGUUUUGUGUUAAUUCCAGCUAUGUUGAGUAUUCUGUGAAUAAUUUUGAUUUUAGGUGCAUAUUCUUAAUUCUUUGCAAAACAACCUGAACUGUUUGCUAUUGAAAGGUUGGUAUGAAGUUUAAAUAAAUAAAACCAUUAUAUUCUUGACAAAACCUGUGUACAGUUUGUAUUAAUAAUUUAAAUUAUUUACUUAUAUUAAUUAAUGGCCUAAUUACCAGCUAUCAGUUAAACAUUCAAAUCAGAACCAAUAUAAAACUGCAACGAAAACUAUUAAAUAUAUGCAAAUAAAGACCAGUACAAAUUGCAAUGGAACCAUCAGAACCAUUACAAAACCAACGGAAACCAUUAAAUUUGUUUUAAUAAAGACCAAUACAAACUUGUAAUGGAACCAUUACAAAACCAACAGAAACCAUUAAAUUUGUUUUAAUAAAGACCAAUACAAACUUGUAAUGGAACCAUCAGAACCAUUACAAAACCAACAGAAACCAUUAAAUUUGUUUUAAUAAAGACCAAUACAAACUUGUAAUGGAACCAUCAAAACCAUUACAAAACCAACAGAAACCAUUAAAUUUGUUUUAAUAAAGACCAAUACAAACUUGUAAUGGAACCAUCAGAACCAUUACAAAACCAACAGAAACCAUUAAAUUUGUUUUAAUAAAGACCAAUACAGACUUGUAAUGGAACCAUCAGAACCAUUACAAAACCAACAGAAACCAUUAAAUUUGUUUUAAUAAAGACCAAUACAAACUUUUAAUGGAACCAUCAGAACCAUUACAAAACCAACAGAAACCAUUACAUUUGUUUUAAUAAAGACCAAUACAAACUUGUAAUGGAACCAUCAGAACCAAUACAAAACUGUGAUGGAAACCAUUAUGUGCAAAUCGUGACCAAUACAAACUUGUAAUGGAAACCAAUACAAACCAAUAAAUCCUAAUGGAAUAUGCCCAAAACACACUACGUAAUGGAAACCAUUUGGUAAUGGUUUUAAUGGUUAAUUGCUGAUGGUUUGUAAUGGUUUUGUAAUGGAAACCAUUAGAAUUUCUGUAAUGGUUUCUAUUGUUUUUUUCAGCAGGGC